UGCAUUCACUACUGUAAGUCGCUCUGGAUAAGAGCAUCUGCUAAAUGAUGUAAA
rfam:Salmo salar isolate Sally breed double haploid chromosome ssa25, whole genome shotgun sequence.